AAACAGAAAACGUAAUCAGUAUAGCAAAAGUUAACAGGGAAGUGUUUGCAACUGAAAGGCACUUCCUUUGGCAACCCUGGUUGGUUGAGGGGAUAGAUCGCUGUCAUGACCAAUAAGAAUUUAAAAAAUUUUAAAAGAGUCUAUGUCAAUUACCACCGAGCUAUGUUCAAACUUCUUACAAUAGGAAGAUUUCUCGUGUAUUCAAUGAAGCUUUCGAAUCAUUAGAUUAUUGUCUAAGAAGUUGAAGAAACAUCGAAAGGUGAGGAACACAAUUAAUAGCUUGGAUGGCUGUGAGUGCAUAGCUCUAGUUAUCACCGACAAGAAUUUGAAA